GUUGUAUGGUUAAGUGACUAAGCGUACAUGGUGGAUGCCUUGGCAGUCAGAGGCGAUGAAGGACGUACUAACCUGCGAUAAGCUGUGAGAAGUCGGUAAGAGACGCUAUUACUCACAGAUUUCCGAAUGGGGAAACCCACCCGAGAUAACUCGGGUAUCUGUUACUGAAUACAUAGGUAACAGAGGCGAACCGGGAGAACUGAAACAUCUAAGUACCCCGAGGAAAAGAAAUCAACCGAGAUUCCCUCAGUAGCGGCGAGCGAACGGGGAUUAGCCCUUAAGCAUCUUGGAAGUUAGUGGAACGGUCCUGGAAAGGCCGGCGAUACAGGGUGAUAGCCCCGUACACGAAAACAACCUUGAUGUGAAAUCGAGUAGGGCGGGACACGUGACAUCCUGUCUGAAUAUGGGGGGACCAUCCUCCAAGGCUAAAUACUCCUGACUGACCGAUAGUGAACCAGUACCGUGAGGGAAAGGCGAAAAGAACCCCUGUGAGGGGAGUGAAAUAGAACCUGAAACCGUGUACGUACAAGCAGUGGGAGCCCUUCGGGGUGACUGCGUACCUUUUGUAUAAUGGGUCAGCGACUUACAUUUUGUAGCGAGGUUAACCGUAUAGGGGAGCCGUAGGGAAACCGAGUCUUAACUGGGCGUCUAGUUGCAAGGUGUAGACCCGAAACCGGGUGAUCUAGCCAUGGGCAGGUUGAAGGUUGAGUAACAUCAACUGGAGGACCGAACCCACUAACGUUGCAAAGUUAGGGGAUGACCUGUGGCUGGGGGUGAAAGGCCAAUCAAACUCGGAGAUAGCUGGUUCUCCCCGAAAGCUAUUUAGGUAGCGCCUCGGACGAAUACUACUGGGGGUAGAGCACUGUUUGGGCUAGGGGGUCAUCCCGACUUACCAACCCCAUGCAAACUCCGAAUACCAGUAAGUAAUAUCCGGGAGACACACGGCGGGUGCUAACGUCCGUCGUGAAGAGGGAAACAACCCAGACCGCCGGCUAAGGUCCCAAAGUUCUGGUUAAGUGGGAAACGAUGUGGGAAGGCUCAGACAGCUAGGAUGUUGGCUUAGAAGCAGCCAUCAUUUAAAGAAAGCGUAAUAGCUCACUAGUCGAGUCGGCCUGCGCGGAAGAUGUAACGGGGCUCAAACCAGGCACCGAAGCCGCGGAUUCACRCUAAGYGUGAGUGGUAGGGGAGCGUUCUGUAAGUCUGCGAAGGUGUAUCGAGAGGUAUGCUGGAGAUAUCAGAAGUGCGAAUGCUGACGUAAGUAACGAUAAAGGGGGUGAAAAGCCUCCUCGCCGGAAGACCAAGGGUUCCUGUCCAACGUUAAUCGGGGCAGGGUGAGUCGACCCCUAAGGUGAGGCCGAAAGGCGUAAUCGAUGGGAAGCAGGUUAAUAUUCCUGCACGACUUGUAAUUGCGAUGGGGGGACGGAGAAGGCUAGGUGGGCCAGGCGACGGUUGUCCUGGUGAAAGUGCGUAGGUGGUGUUUSYAGGCAAAUCCGSAGACACAACRCUGAGACACGAGACGAACACACUACGGUGUGGAAGCCAUUGAUGCCCUGCUUCCAGGAAAAGCCUCUAAGCUUCAGAUUACAAGUCAUCGUACCCCAAACCGACACAGGUGGUCGGGUAGAGAAUACCAAGGCGCUUGAGAGAACUCGGGUGAAGGAACUAGGCAAAAUAGAACCGUAACUUCGGGAGAAGGUUCGCUCUUGAUGGUGAAGUCCCUUGCGGAUGGAGCUGUCGGGAGUCGCAGUGACCAGAUGGCUGGGACUGUUUAUCAAAAACACAGCACUCUGCAAACACGAAAGUGGACGUAUAGGGUGUGACACCUGCCCGGUGCCGGAAGGUUAAUUGAUGGGGUUAGCGCAAGCGAAGCUCUUGAUCGAAGCCCCGGUAAACGGCGGCCGUAACUAUAACGGUCCUAAGGUAGCGAAAUUCCUUGUCGGGUAAGUUCCGACCUGCACGAAUGGUGUAACCAUGGCCAUGCUGUCUCCACCCGAGACUCAGUGAAAUCGAAUUCGCCGUGAAGAUGCGGUGUACCCGCGGCUAGACGGAAAGACCCCGUGAACCUUUACUACAGCUUGGCACUGAACAUUGAACCUACAUGUGUAGGAUAGGUGGGAGGCUUUGAAGGCGUGACGCCAGUUGCGCUGGAGCCGUCCUUGAAAUACCACCCUUGUAUGUUUGAUGUUCUAACGCAGGGCCCUGAAUCGGGCUCGCGGACAGUGCCUGGUGGGUAGUUUGACUGGGGCGGUCUCCUCCCAAAGAGUAACGGAGGAGCACGAAGGUUGGCUAAUCCUGGUCGGACAUCAGGAGGUUAGUGCAAUGGCAUAAGCCAGCUUAACUGCGAGACGGACAGGUCGAGCAGGUACGAAAGUAGGUCAUAGUGAUCCGGUGGUUCUGAAUGGAAGGGCCAUCGCUCAACGGAUAAAAGGUACUCCGGGGAUAACAGGCUGAUACCGCCCAAGAGUUCAUAUCGACGGCGGUGUUUGGCACCUCGAUGUCGGCUCAUCACAUCCUGGGGCUGAAACCCCUUGAGGGUCCUAAAGGGCCGUUGGAGACCACAACGUUGAUAGGUGGGGUGUGUAAGCGCAGUGAUGUGUUGAGCUAACCCAUACUAAUUACCCGUGAGGCUUAACCAUACAACACCCAAGAAGUGUUCU
rnacentral:rRNA from 1 species